UACGUAGGGUGCGAGCGUUAAUCGGAAUUACUGGGCGUAAAGCGUGCGCAGGCGGUUCGUUAAGUUCGUUGUGAAAGCCCCGGGCUCAACCUGGGAACUGCAAUGGAAACUGGCGGGCUUGAGUGUGGCAGAGGGGGGUGGAAUUCCUGGUGUAGCGGUGGAAUGCGCAGAUAUCAGGAGGAACACCAAUAGCGAAGGCAGCUCGCUGGGACGGUACUGACGCUGAGGCGCGAAAGCGUGGGGAGCGAACAGG
rnacentral:rRNA from 1 species